AGCGAACGCUGGCGGCAGGCCUAACACAUGCAAGUCGAACGGAACCUUCGGGAUUAGUGGCGGACGGGUGAGUAACACGUGGGAACGUGCCCUUUGGUUCGGAACAACUCAGGGAAACUUGAGCUAAUACCGGAUGUGCCCUUCGGGGGAAAGAUUUAUCGCCAUUGGAGCGGCCCGCGUCUGAUUAGCUAGUUGGUGGGGUAAAGGCCCACCAAGGCGACGAUCAGUAGCUGGUCUGAGAGGAUGAUCAGCCACAUUGGGACUGAGACACGGCCCAAACUCCUACGGGAGGCAGCAGUGGGGAAUCUUGCGCAAUGGGCGAAAGUCUGACGCAGCCAUGCCGCGUGAAUGAUGAAGGUCUUAGGAUUGUAAAAUUCUUUCACCGGGGACGAUAAUGACGGUACCCGGAGAAGAAGCCCCGGCUAACUUCGUGCCAGCCGCCGCAGUAA
rnacentral:rRNA from 1 species